rnacentral:tRNA from 1 species
GCCCAGGUGAUGAAAUUGGUAUACACGCUGUGUUCAGGUCGCAGUGGGCUCACGCCCGUGAGAGUUCGAGUCUCUCCCUGGGCACCA